GGCAGCGUGGUGUAAUGGCUAACACAUCAGUCCGGUCUGCUGAAGAUGCUGGUUUGCUCCCAGCCGCCG